rnacentral:rRNA from 1 species
UCCUAGUACGGCGAGUGAACGGAGAUUAGCCCAGCACCGAAGCCUAUCUGCAUUUGUGGACAGGGCAAUGUGGUGUUUAGGCAUGCACCUGGGAAGACUGAUCUACUCGAAGUCCAACUCCGAUUGUGGCUUGGAUUUGUUCCAUAGAGGGUGAAAGGCCCGUUCGAGUAGAUCUUGUUGUUUGAGUCUUCCUUAGAUGUGUGUGCCUUGGAGUCGGAUUGCUUGAGAAUGCAGUCCAAAGUGGGUGGUAAACUCCAUCCAAGGCUAAAUACUGGCAUGAGUCCGAUAGUAGACAAGUACCGUGAGGGAAAGUUGAAAAGUACUCUGAAGAGAGAGUAAAUAGUACGUGAAACCGCCUGAAUGGAAGCUGGUGGAGUCAAGCUAUAUGCUUGGUGAAUUGGCACUGAGAUCUUUGUUGUUUGGAGGAGAGUGUUAUAGCUUGGAAAUAGCUGGGUGGCACGCCACUAUAAGCAUUCCGGGUAGUGUGCUUGUUUAUACUCUUUCUUCUGAUCUCGUGUGUUAUUUUGCCUUGCAGUCACCAUGGUCAAUGCGUUUUUGGUGUGCGAUAUUCUAACCGUGUUAUAGCGGGCUUUAGCUCGCUAGGCACGGGAAGGCAGGUGGCAGCAUGCUGGCUUCGGUUAGUUUGUUGCUUAUAGUGGCUUCGGCCUGCUGAAUGUCGUGCGUUGAUACUAUUUAAUGCAUUGUCUUUAUUGCAUGUCUAGCCUACUGGUUGGGUGUGUGAGAGCCAUGGUUUUGUAGUAGACUUUCCACCCGACCCGUCUUGAAACACGGACCAAGGAGUUUAACAUUUGCGCGAGUCAAAGGAUUCUACGAAAUCCAAUGGCGUAAUGAAAGUAAAAGAUUGCUUCUCGCAGUCAGAGGUGUGAUCCGUGCGUUUCUUUAACAGGGCGUAUGGCGUAACACCGGCCCGUUUCGUAAUGUAGUCAUCCUGGCCACGGCUGGGGUGCAUCAUUGAGGCGGAGCAAGAGCGCAAAUGUUGAGACCCGAAAGAUGGUGAACUAUGCUUGCGUAGGUUGAAGCCAGAGGAAACUCUGGUGGAGGACCGUCGCGGUUUUGACGUGCAAAUCGAUCGUCAAACGUGAGCAUAGGGGCGAAAGACUAAUCGAACCAUCUAGUAGCUGGUUCCCUCCGAAGUUUCCCUCAGGAUAGCUGGCACUCUUCGCUAACAGUUUUAUCCGGUAAAGCGAAUGAUUAGAGGUAUUGGGAGCUACACGUUCUCAACCUAUUCUCAAACUAUAAAUGGGUACGAUGCAUGGCUCG